GAUCGGGNANCCUCAUGGAACGGUGGCUAAUACCGGAUGUGCCGAAAGGUGAAAGAUUAAUUGCCUGAAGAUGAGCUCGCGUCUGAUUAGCUAGUAGGUGUGGUAAGAGCGCACCUAGGCGACGAUCAGUAGCUGGUCUGAGAGGAUGAUCAGCCACACUGGGACUGAGACACGGCCCAGACUCCUACGGGAGGCAGCAGUGGGGAAUUUUCCGCAAUGGGCGAAAGCCUGACGGAGCAAUACCGCGUGAGGGAGGAAGGCUCUUGGGUUGUAAACCUCUUUUCUCAGGGAAGAACACAAUGACGGUACCUGAGGAAUCAGCAUCGGCUAACUCCGUGCCAGCAGCCGCGGUAAUACGGAGGAUGCAAGCGUUAUCCGGAAUGAUUGGGCGUAAAGCGUCCGCAGGUGGCUAUGUAAGUCUGCUGUUAAAGAGUGAGGCUCAACCUCAUAAAAGCAGUGGAAACUACAAGGCUAGAGUGCGGUAGGGGCAGAGGGAAUUCCUGGUGUAGCGGUGAAAUGCGUAGAGAUCAGGAAGAACACCGGUGGCGAAAGCGCUCUGCUAGGCCGCAACUGACACUGAGGGACGAAAGCUAGGGGAGCGAAUGGGAUUAGAUUNCC
rnacentral:rRNA from 1 species